GAUGAACGCUGGCGGCGUGCCUAAUACAUGCAAGUCGAGCGAAUGGAUUAAGAGCUUGCUCUUAUGAAGUUAGCGGCGGACGGGUGAGAAACACGUGGGUAACCUGCCCAUAAGACUGGGAUAACUCCGGGAAACCGGGGCUAAUACCGGCUAACAUUUUGAACCGCAUGGUUCGAAAUUGACAGGCGGCUUCGGCUGUCACUUAUGGAUGGACCCGGGUCGCAUUAGCUAGUUGGUGAGGUAACGGCUCACCAAGGCAACGAUGCGUAGCCGACCUGAGAGGGUGAUCGGCCACACUGGGACUGAGACACGGCCCAGACUCCUACGGGAGGCAGCAGUAGGGAAUCUUCCGCAAUGGACGAAAGUCUGACGGAGCAACGCCGCGUGAGUGAUGAAGGCUUUCGGGUCGUAAAACUCUGUUGUUAGGGAAGAACAAGUGCUAGUUGAAUAAGCUGGCACCUUGACGGUACCUAACCAGAAAGCCACGGCUAACUACGUGCCAGCAGCCGCAGUAA
rnacentral:rRNA from 1 species